rnacentral:tRNA from 1 species
AGAAUAAUAUUCAAAUAUGAUUUAUAAUUUGCAAUUAUAAGGUGCUUAGUAGCUUAUUUUA